rnacentral:rRNA from 1 species
AGUGAACGCUGGCGGUAGACCUAACACAUGCAAGUCGAACGGCAGCACAGUAAGAGCUUGCUCUUACGGGUGGCGAGUGGCGGACGGGUGAGGAAUACAUCGGAAUCUACUUUUUCGUGGGGGAUAACGUAGGGAAACUUACGCUAAUACCGCAUACGACCUACGGGUGAAAGCAGGGGAUCUUCGGACCUUGCGCGAUUGAAUGAGCCGAUGUCGGAUUAGCUAGUUGGCGGGGUAAAGGCCCACCAAGGCGACGAUCCGUAGCUGGUCUGAGAGGAUGAUCAGCCGCACUGGAACUGAGACACGGUCCAGACUCCUACGGGAGGCAGCAGUGGGGAAUAUUGGACAAUGGGCGCAAGCCUGAUCCAGCCAUACCGCGUGGGUGAAGAAGGCCUUCGGGUUGUAAAGCCCUUUUGUUGGGAAAGAAAAGCAGCAGGUUAAUACCCCGCUGUUCUGACGGUACCCAAAGAAUAAGCACCGGCUAACUUCGUG